UACGUAGGGUACAAGCGUUGUCCGGAUUUAUUGGGCGUAAAGAGCUCGUAGGCGGUUUGGUGAGUCGGGUGUGAAAUCUCCACGCUCAACGUGGAGGGGCCACCCGAUACUGCCAUGACUAGAGUCCGGUAGGGGAGUGUGGAAUUCCCGGUGUAGCGGUGAAAUGCGCAGAUAUCAGGAGGAACACCGAUGGCGAAGGCAGCUUGCUGGGACGGUACUGACGCUGAGACGCGAAAGCGUGGGGAGCAAACAGG
rnacentral:rRNA from 1 species